AUAUGUUAUAGUUGAGCGUGGAGAAUGAUUUCAACUACGUAUUGGGUGUAUAUUGGACAUAUAUUAAUUCUCCCAUGAUCGAAUUGGCUCCGUUUUUUCUUUCUUUUUUUUUUGUAUCAAGAUAUCUUUAAGAUUUAUUAGAAAAAUGUAUUCAAUAAUUUUUUUAUCAUGUAUAUAAAAGUUAAUAUUUUCAGAGAAUUUAACACGUUGAAUUCUCUUCAUAAGGCAGAGGAAAAUGAGAGAGGAGAGUGGAAACAUA